rnacentral:rRNA from 1 species
AAUAGAUACCCAGGUAGUCCACGCCGUAAACGAUGAGUGCUAAGUGUUAGAGGGUUUCCGCCCUUUAGUGCUGCAGCAAACGCAUUAAGCACUCCGCCUGGGGAGUACGGUCGCAAGACUGAAACUCAAAGGAAUUGACGGGGGCCCGCACAAGCGGUGGAGCAUGUGGUUUAAUUCGAAGCAACGCGAAGAACCUUACCAGGUCUUGACAUCCUUAUGCCAUCUCUAGAGAUAGAGCUUUCCCUUCGGGGACAUAAGUGACAGGUGGUGCAUGGUUGUCGUCAGCUCGUGUCGUGAGAUGUUGGGUUAAGUCCCGCAACGAGCGCAACCCUUGAUCUUAGUUGCCAGCAUUCAGUUGGGCACGUCUAAGGUGACUGCCGGUGACAAACCGGAGGAAGGUGGGGAUGACGUCAAAUCAUCAUGCCCCUUAUGACCUGGGCUACACACGUGCUACAAUGGAUGGUACAAAGGGCAGCGAAACCGCGAGGUUAAGCCAAUCCCAUAAAACCAUUCUCAGUUCGGAUUGCA